rnacentral:tRNA from 1 species
CAUUAAAUAGCUUAAGGUUAAAGCGCUAAUCUUUUAAAUUAGAGAUAAGUAAUUACUUUUUAGUGA